rnacentral:rRNA from 1 species
CACGUAGGAGGCGAGCGUUGUCCGGAAUCAUUGGGCGUAAAGAGCGCGCAGGCGGCCCGGCAAGUCGGGUGUGAAAUCCCGGGGCUCAACCCUGGACCUGCAUUCGAUACGGGCAGACUAGAGUUCGGUAGGGGAGACUGGAAUUCCUGGUGUAGCGGUGAAAUGCGCAGAUAUCAGGAGGAACACCGGUGGCGAAGGCGGGUCUCUGGGCCAAACUGACGCUGAGGAGCGAAAGCGUGGGGAGCAAACAGG